rnacentral:rRNA from 1 species
GACGAACGCUGGCGGCGUGCUUAACACAUGCAAGUCGAACGGAAAGGCCCUGCUUUUGUGGGGUGCUCGAGUGGCGAACGGGUGAUUAACACGUGAGUAACCUGCCCUUGACUUUGGUAUAACUUCAGGAAACUGGGGCUAAUACCGGAUAGGAGCUCCUGCUGCAUGGUGGGGGUUGGAAAGUUUCGGCGGUUGGGGAUGGACUCGCGGCUUAUCAGCUUGUUGGUGGGGUAGUGGCUUACCAAGGCUUUGACGGGUAGCCGGCCUGAGAGGGUGACCGGCCACAUUGGGACUGAGAUACGGCCCAGACUCCUACGGGAGGCAGCAGUGGGGAAUAUUGCACAAUGGGCGGAAGCCUGAUGCAGCAACGCCGCGUGCGGGAUGACGGCCUUCGGGUUGUAAACCGCUUUCGCCUGUGACGAAGCGUGAGUGACGGUAAUGGGUAAAGAAGCACCGGCUAACUACGUG